AUGGGACCAUCUAGUUGCAGGAAAACCACCUCAGGGCUCCCACGGACUCUACCUUAUGGUUUUCCAGUUAAUAUGUGGACCAAAAAAGCACAACUGGACCAAUAUAUAAAAUAAACACACUCCUUUACUACAACAAUUCGGGAAACUAAAUUUUCAAUGAUGGAAGGAAUGGUUAUAUGGUUAAAACCAAAUGCUAAUGUUGGAUACUUUUAUUAAUUCAAUAAAUGAAUAUUCAUUUAUUUAUUUACUGAG
ensembl:lncRNA novel transcript